rnacentral:rRNA from 1 species
UACAGAGGUCUCAAGCGUUGUUCGGAAUCACUGGGCGUAAAGGGUGCGUAGGCGGCAUGGUAAGUCAGAGGUGAAAUCCCGGAGCUCAACUUCGGAAUUGCCUCCGAUACUGCCAUGCUUGAGGACUGGAGAGGAGAUUGGAAUUCACAGUGGAGCAGUGAAAUGCGUAGAUAUUGUGAGGAACACUAGUGGCGAAGGCGAAUCUCUGGACAGUUCCUGACGGCUGAGGCACGGAAGGCCCAGGGGAGCAAACGGG